rnacentral:snRNA from 1 species
AGCUUUGCGCAUGGCAGUAUCGUAGCCAAUGAGGUUUAUCCAAGGAGCGAUUAUUGCUAAUUAAGAAACCAAUCCUGUGAAAGUUGAAGACGACAGACAUACUGGCUGAGGAAACUCUGCUAUCGUUUAGACAGGCUAUUCAGUACCUAAAUUCAUCUUCUAAAAUACCCAAUAAUUUUUUUAAAUACAACUUUGUA